rnacentral:rRNA from 1 species
UACGGGGGGAGCAAGCGUUGUUCGGAUUUACUGGGCGUAAAGGGCGCGGUAGGCGGUCGUGACAAGUCACUUUGUGAAAUCUCCGGGCUUAACUCGGAACGGGUCAAGUGAUACUGUCGGACUAGAGUACAGAAGGGGGCAACUGGAAGUUCUCGGUGUAGCGGUGAAAUGCGUAGAUAUCGAGAGGAACACCUGCGGCGAAGGCGGGUUGCUGGGCUGAUACUGACGCUGAGGCGCGAAAAGCCCAGGGGGAGGCGAAACGGGG